GUGGGGAAUCUUCCGCAAUGGACGAAAGUCUGACGGAGCAACGCCGCGUGAGUGAAGAAGGUUUUCGGAUCGUAAAGCUCUUUCGUUAGGGACGAACGUGCUCUUUGUGAAUAAUGAGGAGUAAUGACGGUACCUAAAUAAGAAGCCACGGCUAACUACGUGCCAGCAGCCGCGGUAAUACGUAGGUGGCAAGCGUUGUCCGGAAUUAUUGGGCGUAAAGCGCGCGCAGGCGGGAUAUCAAGUCUGUCGUAAAAGUGCGAGGCUCAACCUCGUGAGGGGACAGAAACUGGUAUUCUUGAGUGUCGGAGAGGAAAGUGGAAUUCCAAGUGUAGCGGUGAAAUGCGUAGAGAUUUGGAAGAACACCAGUGGCGAAGGCGACUUUCUGGACGAAAACUGACGCUGAGGCGCGAAAGCCAGGGGAGCGAACGGGAUUAGAUACCCGAGUAGUCC
rnacentral:rRNA from 1 species